rnacentral:tRNA from 1 species
CGGGCCGUAGUAUAGUGGUAGUAUAUGCCCAUGGGGUGGGUAAGGUCCGGGUUCGAUUCCCGGCGGCCCGA